rnacentral:rRNA from 1 species
ACAAAUUGCUCAAGUGUGGACCUUUACUAUCGGCAACCCCAAAAAAUCUUGCAGAAUAGCAGCUGGCCAGGUUGAAGCUCUUCUCCGUGAACUCGUGGCUUGCAGGCUGUCCUUUCUUUCAGGUCGAGUCUGAAAGAGGUAGAGCUACCAAUAGGACUAGGGGGAGUCAAAUCCUACCAAAUCCUGAUGAACUCCGAAUGCUUUCAGAUAUACACAGGAGUGAGGGCUGGGGUGCUAAGGUCCCAGUCCAAAAGGGAAAGAACCCGGAUCAACAGCUAAGGUCCCCAAAUCUAUUCUAAGUUGAACUAAGGAGGUUCAGCUGCAGAGACAGCCAGGAGGUUUGCUUGGAAGCAGCAAUUCCUUUAAAGAGUGCGUAACAGCUCACUGGUCGAGCGGCAGAGCAUCGAUAAUAAACGGACAUCAAGAAUAGUACCGAAGCUUUGGGUUUGCAGCAAUGCAAGCGGUAGAGGAGCAUUCCAAACAGCGGAGAAGGCGAAUCGUAAGGUUUGUUGGAGCGUUUGGAAAAGCAAAUGUAGGCAUAAGUAACGAUAAAAUAGGUGAGAAACCUAUUCGCCGAUAGACUAAGGUUUCCUGAC